UACGUAGGGGGCGAGCGUUGUCCGGAUUUAUUGGGCGUAAAGAGCUCGUAGGCGGUUUGGUAAGUCGGGUGUGAAAUCUCCACGCUCAACGUGGAGGGGCCACUCGAUACUGCCAUGAUUCGAGUCCGGUAGAGGAGUGUGGAAUUCCCGGUGUAGCGGUGAAAUGCGCAGAUAUCGGGAGGAACACCCGUAGCGAAGGCGGCACUCUGGGCCGGAACUGACGCUGAGGAGCGAAAGCGUGGGGAGCAAACAGG
rnacentral:rRNA from 1 species